UCCCCAUUCAGAACCACUAUGGGGCAGCUGCCCAGGCGGAUCUGGAAGACUUCGCCAUAGCGCCGCGCCAGGCGCGCAAACGAGAGGCUAUCUUUGUCAAGUUUUGGUAUUGAUCUUAUGGGUCAGUUCCUGAGAAGGAGAGAAAUCCUUGAGUUGUUGGGUAAAUGUGGUUCAAGUAAGAUGCUGAACAGUGCCGGCCACGUAGACUCUGCCACAGUGAAGGAGGAAGGUUCUCAUUGCUAAGGCUUAUUUUGAGGCUUAGUGACCAUCUCAUUCCUACUGCUGGCCCACAGUAGGGAAUCAGACCUUUAGCAGACACAGAGUUCUUCAAAUACACAGUGAACUUGGGACAGCUAAUCAUCUGGGUCAAGAUGAACACUCCACGAGGAACAGCACAGAAUAUACCCAAACUGAGAGGCACAGGCAGCACUGACGAGUGAGGGAACAUGUGGGAGCAUCAGAAGCUUGGUCCUGAUUUUGUCAUUAACCAGUACCUUGAUGACUUCCAGGGAGUCCCCAAACCCUGGGUUUCUGUUUUCUUAACUCUAACAUGAGGGGCUAGACUUAUCUGGUUUAGUUUGUCUCCAUGAUGGUUUAGUUCAUCUCCAUGAUUCUGUGAAUUUCAGAUGUUGAAAAUCUUCAGAACAGCCCUGAAAGAUGAGCAGGCAGGAGUUAUUGUCUAUAUUUUAUCUAUGAGGAAACUAAGGACCCGGAAAUUUAAAGGGCUGAUUAGCUUUUGAACCAGUAUCAGAAAUGAGUUCAUCUGAAUUCUAGUCCCAAACUCGUAGCAUGAGAGAAAUGUGGACCUUUUGUUCCAGGAGUUUAUCAUCUAGCUGGUAUUAAGCUGGGACAGGAUUAAGGCAAGAUUACAGGUUCUUGAGAAACAUAAGCAACAGAGACAAGAACAUCAGAAAGAGCUGGUGCAACUUGGGUCAUGUCUGCUGAUGGAGGUGGUAUCAGGAGAGGUUGUUUGCUGAGAAGUUUGCAUUCCCUAGAGCCCAAGUGGGUGUUGCCAGGAAACCCUGAGUUUUCCAACUUGGCAAUCAGUGCACAACUGAGUUAUUAUAGGAAAUUGCCCAGCUCUUUGGCAAUUUUAUGUGGUAUAAAUAUGGUUUUGAAAUUCUAUAUCUUAGCUUAGCAAAAGGCGGAAACAUUUUGGAACUCAUGGAUUUGGGAGAUCUGCUGCCAUUGCUAUUAUAAUUACUUUUAGCAUAAUUGUACACUAUGAAUUAAAUUUCUCAAAAAGAUUCAAUUUUCUAAUCUUUGAGACUUCUUAAAAAGGAAUGAACCCCAGGUAGAGUGAAAGUGGAUUUCAAAAAAGCAGUUUAUUCUGAAUGAAAAAAGAAUCAUUCUUGGCUCUGCAUCUAACAAACUGGCUGUGUGUCCCCAGACAAUAAACUUAAUGUCUCAGAUCCUCAACUUCAACUGCAAAUAAAGGGGUUAGAGGAGAUCAUCUUUAAAGCCCAACUCAGCUCUAACAUACUAUGAUUGGAUACCAUAUGCUUGUCUACAUUCUUUUCUCUAACUCUUGGGGAUUGCUGCUCUUCCAGCCUUUACAAAUAUAACCUUUCAUUGUCACACUCAUUCUUCCUUGUCCUAAAAACAGGCCCAGGCAUAGUCUGGUGCCACUCCUGAGAGCUAUAGCAGGUGGCACCUAGUGUCUCUACAGUAACUAUCUACUCUCCUAGGGAAAGUUAUCUCACAGAAGCAUAGAGAGCCUGACCUCACCUAGAAAGACAAUAAGGUAUAAUGAUUGAAAGCAUAGGCUCUAAAUUCAGGCAGACCUGGAUGAAUCUACCACCUACUAGAGACCUUGGGCAGGCAAGUUUGCCAUGCCUGGUACCUAGUGAGUGUUGUGGGCCUCUAUUCUGGAGGGAUGGCAGGGCCUUAUGAAACCAGCAUGAGAUGGUAAAUGCUUUGCAGGCUGGAUUUUUAACAGGAAAUGCCACCCCCGUUUUCUCGAACAUCUCUGGCAAAAUUGCUAACCCAAAGGUACCAGGCCCAGCUAGUCAUGAAGGGGAGAGAAGUCAUCUCUAUCCAAGGGAAAAACAUUUGAUGUUUAAAGAAGGGGUUUAAAUUGUUAUGAAGGAAUAGAGGGAAAGAAGAGGCAAAGACAGAAGGGGGUGGAUGAGAAUAAAGAACAAGAGAAGAAGCAGUAGGAGACAAACGAGAAGGUUAAAGCUAUUAAUUUUCACUUCAUGAUAAAAGGAAUUUCUAAGCAAAUUCUAACCAUUUUAUCAAGAAGAAGAAACAAAUUCACUAACUUAUAUUUCCAUUUAAAGAAAUGCAUGGGCAUUUUCUUUGCAUGUGGAAUUUGAUUAAAAAUUAGGCAUUGAAUGCUUUAUGCUUUUUUAAAAAAAAAAUCUAGAUUGAUUCUGGACAUGCACAUUCCAAUUGAUAAACAGAUCAAAGAGUUUGAUUUUCUUAUUGGCAACUUGGCACCAGUUACCAGUGGCUUCAUAUGAACCUAUCAGCUGCUGUGGGAUGGCAGAGCAGCUAAGAGUCCAAGACUAGUCUACGCAGGCCUGCAGCUGCCACAUUCUGAUGCAUCAAAGCCACAGCAAGUUCCUAAAACAUGGGCUCCGGAUCUAGAUGCUUUCGGUUCAAUUUUUCACUCCAUUAUUUCUUAGAUGGCAAUUAAGACUUAUGACAAUUAGACUUAUGGCAAUUACUUAC